AGAGUUUGAUCCUGGCUCAGAACGAACGCUGGCGGCGUGGAUUAGGCAUGCAAGUCGUGCGCGAACGGGGGCUUCGGCUCCUUAUUAGAGCGGCGAACUGGUGAGUACAAGAUGAAUAACGUACCCUUAAGUGGGGAAUAACCUCGGGAAACCGGGGAUAAUACCGCAUGUGUUCGACGGUUUAGUUAUCGUUGAACAAAGCAGCAAUGCGCUAAAGGAUCGGUUCAUCUCCCAUUAGCUAGUUGGUGUGGUAAUGGCGCACCAAGGCAACGAUGGGUAGCUGGUCUGAGAGGAUGGUCAGCCACACUGGGACUGAGAUACGGCCCAGACUCCUACGGGGGGCAGCAGUCUAGAGGCUUCGUCAAUGCCCGAAAGGGUGAACGAGCGACGCCGCGUGCGGGAUGAAGGUCUUCGGAUCGUAAACCGCUUUUAUUAGGAAAGAAGAUUAUGCUCGUGAAGCAUAGUUUGACGGUACCUGAUGAAUAAGCCUCGGCUAACUCCGUGCCAGCAGCCGCGGUAAUACGGAGGAGGCGAGCGUUGUUCGGAAUCAUUGGGCGUAAAGGGCUUGUAGGCGGACAGGUGUGUCUGGCGUGAAAUCUCCACUGCUUACCAGGGAGGGUGCGUUGGAAACUGCUUGUCUGGAGUAUGACAGAGGGUCGCGGAAUUCCGGGUGUAGCGGUGGAAUGCGUAGAUAUCCGGAGGAACACCGGUGGCGAAGGCGGCGGCCUGGGUCAAUACUGACGCUGAGGAGCGAAAGCUAGGGUAGCAAACAGGCUUAGAUACCCUGGUAGUCCUAGCUGUAAACUGUGGAUACUAGGUGUGGGAGGUAUCGACCCCUUCUGCGCCGGAGCUAACGUAUUAAGUAUCCCGCCUGGGAAGUACGGCCGCAAGGUUGAAACUCAAAGGAAUUGACGGGGGCCCGCACAAGCGGUGGAGCAUGUGGUUUAAUUCGACGCAACGCGAAGAACCUUACCUGGGCUCGAACGGCUACUCACAGAGGCAGAAAUGUCUUGUCUCCUUCGGGAGAGUAUAGUCGAGGUGCUGCAUGGCUGUCGUCAGCUCGUGUCGUGAGAUGUUGGGUUAAGUCCCGCAACGAGCGCAACCCUUACUAGUAGUUACUAACGGACAAUGCCGAGGACUCUACUGGGACUGCCUGCGACAAGCAGGAGGAAGGUGGGGACGACGUCAAGUCAUCAUGGCCCUUACGUCCAGGGCUACACACGUGCUACAAUGGCUGGCACAAAGAGACGCAAAGUGGCGACACUGAGCAAAUCUGAGAAAUCCAGCCCCAGUUCGGAUAGGAGUCUGCAAUUCGACUCCUUGAAGUUGGAAUCGCUAGUAAUCGCAGAUCAGAAUGCUGCGGUGAAUACGUUCCCGGGCCUUGUACACACCGCCCGUCACACCACGAAAGUCGGUUGUACCAGAAGUCGGUGCCGCAACCCGCAAGGGAGCAAGCUGCCAAAGGUAUGAUCGGUAAUUGGGGUGAAGUCGUAACAAGGUAGCCGUAUCGGAAGGUGCGGCUG
rnacentral:rRNA from 1 species